rnacentral:rRNA from 1 species
UACGGGGGGUGCAAGCGUUGUUCGGAAUUACUGGGCGUAAAGGGCUCGUAGGUGGCCAUCUAAGUCAGACGUGAAAUCCCUCGGCUUAACCGGGGAACUGCGUCUGAUACUGGAUGGCUUGAGUUUGGGAGAGGGACGCGGAAUUCCAGGUGUAGCGGUGAAAUGCGUAGAUAUCUGGAGGAACACCGGUGGCGAAGGCGGCGUCCUGGACCAACCCUGACACUGAGGAGCGAAAGCCAGGGGAGCAAACGGG